rnacentral:tRNA from 1 species
GAGGGUAGAGCUCAGGGGUAGAGCACGUGCUUAGCAUGCACAAGGUCCUGGGUUCAGUCCCAAGUACCUCCA